GAUGAAGAACGUAGCGAAAUGCGAUAAGUAAUGUGAAUUGCAGAAUUCAGUGAAUCAUCGAAUCUUUGAACGCACAUUGCGCCCCCUGGUAUUCCGGGGGGCAUGCCUGUUCGAGCGUCAUUUCACCACUCAAGCCUCGCUUGGUAUUGGGCAACGCGGUCCGCCGCGUGCCUCAAAUCGACCGGCUGGGUCUUCUGUCCCCUAAGCGUUGUGGAAACUUUCGCUAAAGGGUGUUCGGGAGGCUACGCCGUAAAACAACCCCAUUUCUAAGGUUGACCUCAGAUCAGGUAGGGAUACCCGCUGAACUUAAGCAUAUCAAUAAGCGGAGGA
rnacentral:misc_RNA from 1 species